rnacentral:tRNA from 1 species
AUUUAUAUAGUUUAUUAAAACAUUAUAUUUUCAUUAUAAAAAUAAUGCAUAAAAAUUAUUUAAACC